AUCUGAGAGACAAACCAGAGACUCACUGAAAUACUGUGUACACAUACUGAUACGUACCUGCUACACACAGUACCUGAUACUUAGUAUGACAACCAGGAUACAAAUAUUAAGUUAAUGUAAGUAGAAUGUGUGCUGACGCAACAUUUAUGUACCGGCUACUACAUGCCAGGAGUGUAAUCACCAAGUACCAGGUUAAUAUCCAUACACGUAGUAGGUAAGUAUUGGGUAAAUACCAGCUGUAAAAUUGAGGUCACCCCUAAAGGUACUGGGAAAAAUAGGUACUAAAGUACAAAAGUACUAACAGCGUUCCCACGGGUCCUUAAAAUCCUUGAAAGUUUGAAAAAAAAUAUUUAAAGGCCCUGGAAAAUUUGUGAAAAAAGCCAAAAAUUACACUUGUCCUUGAAAGUCCUUGAAUGUCUUUUGGGGAUUGAAAUUCUCUGUUCACACGGCUGAUUUCAUCAUCKUUAAAACAAUAAAUUAUAAAAUUAAAUUUAAAAAUACUUACAUUUGUUGUGGUGGAUAACAGGAUCACAGUAAACUGACGUCACUGAUUCUGACUCAACAACUUGUGUUGUUCAGUUUUUCAUUGAAUUUACAGGAAAUUAAACCUGUUUAUUGGUAAAACUCUGUGGUAGCAGCAGGUAACUGCUGCUGUGCUUGGUUCUUUAAUUUGAGGAAACUGGUACUGGAAAGUCCUUGAAAGGUCCUUGAAUUUGAUGUUGACCAAGGUGUGGGAACCCUGUACUAAACAACAUACUGUAGGUACUGGGGAGUAUAGGUACUGAAGAUAAUGGGUACUAAAAUACAUAGGUACUGGGAAGUAUAGGUAAUAAAGAACAGUAGUACAGGGGAACAUAGAUACUAAAGAACACAGGUACUGGGAAUAGGUACUAAAGAAGAACUCAGGUACUAAAGAACUGAAGUAUUAGAGAACAUAGAUACUAAAUAACAUACUAGGAAGUAUAGGUACUAAAGAACAUAGGUACUAGAGAGUAAAGGUACAAAAGUACAUGAAUACUGGGAAGUAUAGGUACUAAAGAACACAGGUACUAAAGUACAUGAAUACUGGGAAGUUUAGGUACUAAAGAACAUAAGUACUAAAGAACACAGGUACUAGAGAAUAAAGGUAUUAAAGUACAUGAAUACUGGGAAGUAUAGGUACUAAAGAACACAGGUAUUAAAGAACACAGGUACUAAAGAACACAGGCGCUAAAGAACACAGGCACUAAAGAACACAGGCGCUAAAGAACACAAGUACUAGAGAACACAGGUACUAGAGAACACAGAUACUAAAGAACACAGGUACUAGAGAACACAGGUGCUAAAGAACACAGGUGCUAAAGAACACAGGUGCUAAAGAACACAGGUACUAGAGAACACAGGUGCUAAAGAACACAGGUGCUAAAGAACACAGGCGCUAAAGAACACAGGCGCUAAAGAACACAGGCGCUAAAGAACACAGGCACUAAAGAACACAGGCACUAAAGAACACAGG